rnacentral:rRNA from 1 species
GAUGAACGCUGGCGGCAUGCCUAAGACAUGCAAGUCGAACGAAGCGGUUCGAUGAUAAUUUUGUGCUUGCACGAGAUUUGAUUCGAGUUUCCGCUUAGUGGCAUACGGGUGAGUAAUGCAUAGGUAACCUGCCUUAGAGACUGGGAUAGCAAUUAGAAAUGGUUGGUAAUACCGGAUAAAACAUAAUUAGAUAACUAUUUAUGUUAAAAGGAGCGUUUGCUUCACUCUAAGAUGGGCCUAUGUUGUAUUAGCUAGUUGGUGGGGUAAUGGCCUACCAAGGCGACGAUGCAUAUCCGGGCUGAGAGGCUGAACGGACACACUGGGACUGAGACACGGCCCAGACUCCUACGGGAGGCAGCAGUUAGGAAUAUUCGACAAUGGGGGAAACCCUGAUCGAGCGAUGCCGCGUGAACGAUGACGGUCGAAAGAUUGUAAAGUUCUGUUAUAGGGGACGAACAAUUGCCAUAGGAAAUGAUGGUAAUCUGACGGUACCCUAUGAGAAAGCCCCGGCUAACUACGUG